rnacentral:rRNA from 1 species
GGCGCACGGGUGCGUAACGCGUGGGAAUCUGCCCUUGGGUUCGGGAUAACCGUUGGAAACGACGGCUAAUACCGGAUGAUGACGUAAGUCCAAAGAUUUAUCGCCCAGGGAUGAGCCCGCGUAGGAUUAGCUAGUUGGUGUGGUAAAGGCGCACCAAGGCGACGAUCCUUAGCUGGUCUGAGAGGAUGAUCCGCCACACUGGGACUGAGACACGGCCCAUACUCCUACGGGAGGCAGCAGUGGGGAAUAUUGGACAAUGGGCGCAAGCCUGAUCCGGCCAUGCCGCGUGUGUGAAGAAGGCCUUUUGGUUGUAAAGCACUUUAAGCGAGGAGGAGGCUACUGAGAUUAAUACUCUUGGAUAGUGGACGUUACUCGCAGAAUAAGCACCGGCUAACUCUGUGCCAGCAGCCGCGGUAAU